UACAGAGGGGGCAAGCGUUAUUCGGAAUUAUUGGGCGUAAAGGGCGCGUAGGCGGCCUGGCAAGUGGAUGGUGAAAUCCCUCGGCUUAACCGAGGAACUGCCAUCCAGACUGCUUGGCUUGAGACCGGGAGAGGUGAGUGGAAUUCCCAGUGUAGCGGUGAAAUGCGUAGAUAUCUGGAGGAACACCGGUGGCGAAGGCGGCGUCCUGGACCAACACUGACACUGAGGAGCGAAAGCCAGGGGAGCAAACGGG
rnacentral:rRNA from 1 species